rnacentral:rRNA from 1 species
GACGAACGCUGGCGGCGUGCUUAACACAUGCAAGUCGAACGGAAAGGCCCUGCUUUUGUGGGGUGCUCGAGUGGCGAACGGGUGAGUAACACGUGAGUAACCUGCCCUUGACUUUGGGAUAACUUCAGGAAACUGGGGCUAAUACCGGAUAGGAGCUCCUGCUGCAUGGUGGGGGUUGGAAAGUUUCGGCGGUUGGGGAUGGACUCGCGGCUUAUCAGCUUGUUGGUGGGGUAGUGGCUUACCAAGGCUUUGACGGGUAGCCGGCCUGAGAGGGUGACCGGCCACAUUGGGAAUGAGAUACGGCCCAGACUCCUCCGGGAGGCAGAAGUGGGGAAUAUUGCAAAAGGGGCGGAAGCCUGAUGCAGCAACGCCGCGUGCGGGAUGACGGCCUUCGGGUUGUAAACCGCUUUCGCCUGUGACGAAGCGUGAGUGACGGUAAUGGGUAAAGAAGCACCGGCUAACUACGU